GAGUUUGAUCGUGGCUCAGAUUGAACGCUGGCGGCAUGCCUUACACAUGCAAGUCGAACGGCAGCACGGGAGCUUGCUCCUGGUGGCGAGUGGCGAACGGGUGAGUAAUGCAUCGGAACGUAUCCUGGAGUGGGGGAUAACGUAGCGAAAGUUACGCUAAUACCGCAUAUUCUGUGAGCAGGAAAGCGGGGGACCUUCGGGCCUCGCGCUCUUGGAGCGGCCGAUGUCGGAUUAGCUAGUUGGUGAGGUAAAGGCUCACCGAGGCGACGAUCCGUAGCAGGUCUGAGAGGAUGAUCUGCCACACUGGAACUGAGACACGGUCCAGACUCCUACGGGAGGCAGCAGUGGGGAAUUUUGGACAAUGGGGGCAACCCUGAUCCAGCCAUGCCGCGUGAGUGAAGAAGGCC
rnacentral:rRNA from 1 species